rnacentral:rRNA from 1 species
UACGAAGGGGGCGAGCGUUGUUCGGAAUUACUGGGCGUAAAGCGUGCGCAGGCGGCUUCGCAAGUCAGACGUGAAAUCCCCGGGCUUAACCUGGGAAUGGCGUUUGAAACUACGGAGCUGGAGUGUGGCAGAGGGAGGUAGAAUUCCACGUGUAGCGGUGAAAUGCGUAGAUAUGUGGAGGAAUACCGAUGGCGAAGGCAGCCUCCUGGGCCAACACUGACGCUCAUGCACGAAAGCGUGGGGAGCAAACAGG